UGUAUUACAUCUAUGUAGGUGAUCGGAUCCUCAUCGUUCUCAUCGAGUUCGACAAGAUCUCCAUCCCGAACCAAGAAAUCUAAAUAUCUGUCUGGCUGACGCGGUACUCUAUCGGAUCGCUUUAAGGAUGUUUGUUCAUUGGGCUUCAGGUUUGAUCUCAUCAAAUUCGAUUCAGAUUCAAUCAUUGGUGUCGAUUUUUUUACUUGUCAAACUUCAUCAAGCUCGAUUUUAAAGGCACUUAUUCCUUCACUAAGGAAUUUUUUUUCAAAAAAUAUGCCUUACUGCUGACAAACACCUUUUGUUCAGCAGGUAGAUAAAAGAAAUAUCUUUUCAUUUUUUUACGGUACCCUAUGAAAUUAC
rnacentral:lncRNA from 1 species